CAGCCGCCGCGGGAAUACGAAGGGGGCUAGCGUUGCUCGGAAUGACUGGGCGUAAAGGGCGCGUAGGCGGAUUGUUUAGUUAGGCGUGAAAUUCCUGGGCUUAACCUGGGGACUGCGCUUAAUACAGGCAGUCUAGAAUGAGGAAGAGGGUUGUGGAAUUCCCAGUGUAGAGGUGAAAUUCGUAGAUAUUGGGUAGAACACCGGUGGCGAAGGCGGCAACCUGGUCCUUGACUGACGCUGAGGCCCGAAAGCGUGGGGAGCAAACAGGAUUAGAUACCCGCGUAGUCCCUGUCUCUUAUAC
rnacentral:rRNA from 1 species